rnacentral:lncRNA from 12 species
GAAGGAAAUUUGUGAAUGAGAAAAAGCAUCUGUCAGCUCUUUAGCUGAUUUAGAGGUUAUGAGCAAUCUUUUGAGGUCUCGUUUCUACAAGAGUGAAGAUUUAUGUGUAGUGUCUUUGAGUAUGUCUGCAAACACCUUCUGUGUUUGAACACAUUGCCUUGAAUCUAAGCAUCAUCUACAGCAGUGUCUUUUCCAUCAAGCCCCAUACUUCCAACAAAAAAAUCUCCUAUUCUUUGGUUUCCUUAAACGCUAUGUUCUGUAUGCUCUGAUAUAAACCUUGGGUGUGCAGCAGAGGAUAAAAUCUCCCUUUUAUGAGGAUGCCUGUGAUUACAGAGAGGUGAGCAGUGCUCCUGUUCCAGUGAGUUACAACAUCUCUCUCCCAGUAUGUGCAGCAUGCUCAAGGCCAGUUCCUGCUCCCACUGGCUGGGUAACAACACCCUGNGCUUCACUGGGAGCAGGAACAAGUGCCGUGUUCUAAUCCUUUUCUUUCCUACCUGCUGAGAGUUUC